AAUGUCUCUAAUCAAACUAGUAUCACUAAUCAUAUGAUGAGAAGCUCCUGAAUCAACUACCAAUGGUUUAAACAGAUUGUGUGCAAUAUGAGACUGUCCUAGUAUGCUAGUAGGUUUAUAAGCAAUGCUUGAAUGAUCAGGUUCUCUAGCAAUACUACACGAUUCAUAUGAUGCACCAAAAGAGUAACCAAGAGUACCAAGUGUGUUACCAUUCUCCUUUAGCAUUUUGAUGAGGGAGUCAAUGUCUGAUCUCCUUAGGUACUCGUUCUCACGGUUGUUCUGAAGGCUUGGCUGAGGUGUGUAAGUCACCAGGGCCUUGCUAUCUCC
rnacentral:lncRNA from 1 species